UACAGAGGUCUCAAGCGUUUGUUCGGAUUCAUUGGGCGUAAAGGGUGCGUAGGCGGCGCGGUAAGUCGGGUGUGAAAUCUCGGAGCUUAACUCCGAAACUGCAUUCGAUACUGCCGUGCUUGAGGACUGGAGAGGAGACUGGAAUUUACGGUGUAGCGGUGAAAUGCGUAGAUAUCAGGAGGAACACCGGUGGCGAAGGCGGUUCUCUGGGCAUGAUCUGACGCUGAGGAGCGAAAGUGUGGGGGAGCGAACAGG
rnacentral:rRNA from 1 species